AUUUAUUUUUGGUAACAAUUAAAAUUUGACAAGAUGUUAAUUAGGAAAUCGGAUACGCACUCGCGAGUCUUGUUGAAAAGCAGCAUGCGAGAACUGGCCGAUAUAAAGGGUCAUAAGGGGACCUCGAAGGGAACUGUUCAUUAUAUGGCACUGUGGUUGUUAGCGUCAGUCCGAUGGUCCGAUAUAAUCUCCAGGGACGUCGCUAUAGGGGGGGGGGGGGUGUUGCCCCCAAUAAUUCAAACGUUGGUCAAAGUUGGUCAAAAUGAAACUGAUAUUUGCUUAAAAUUGAAAGUAAAACUCGGGAAAAUUUGGUAAAUGUUUGGGAUAAAAGAUGGUCGAAGUAGGUCAAAGUUAUGAAAUGGUUCGCAAUUUUAACAAUUUUAAAGCUUUUGUUAUCUUUGCACUGAAAAAAUUGGAAGCCUUGCUUAUCUUGGUCGAAAAAUUUUGAAUAUGCUUCGGUUAGUGUG